CUUAUCUUUUUUUCCAGCCUUGCACUUGGGGCAGCCAAUAGAGGUAAGAAUCUGAACUUCACGGGUCUAAGUGAAAUUACCCUUUCCCAAAAUAAAAUAAAAAACAUGGGAGUUAUUGAAAAUCCUUUUCAGUUUCAGAAAUAGUCCAACGCGUUUCCUCCUCCUAGAAGAAGCAGUACAACUCUACCCAGACGACCAUCUCCUAGAUCUCCCUCUCAUCAUUCUAAGUCUUUAUCAAAAUGGUACUAGCUUCUUCUUCAAUUUCAUAAGAUUCUCUUCGUUUUGAUUUACUUUUUUCACAAGUUCAAGAAUUACUAUAACGCAUGGAGAAACUUGCCUCAGUUUACUGUUUAAUACAAUUUCUGCUAAUACCCUUUUGGAGUUCUCUAAUACUGCUUGGAUGUUAUUAAUCCUUCUUUUUUUUCCUUUUGAUUUUUUUGCAGACUUAUUUAGAAGAAAGAUCAACGG
rnacentral:lncRNA from 1 species